rfam:Candidatus Yanofskybacteria bacterium RIFCSPHIGHO2_02_FTLL_39_10 rifcsphigho2_02_scaffold_36936, whole genome shotgun sequence.
CUGAAAGCAUAUAAGCGCGAAGCAGGCUCCAAGAUUAGGUAUCAUAGAUUCGUAGUAGAUUACUACGUUGAUAGGGCUCAGGUGUAAGCACAGUAAUGUGUUCAGCCAAGAGCUACUAAUAAAUCAUAGAGUAAUGUCC